GUGGGGAAUAUUGGACAAUGGGCGAAAGCCUGAUCCAGCCAUGCCGCGUGUGUGAAGAAGGUCUUCGGAUUGUAAAGCACUUUAAGUUGGGAGGAAGGGCAUUAACCUAAUACGUUAGUGUUUUGACGUUACCGACAGAAUAAGCACCGACUAACUUCGUGCCAGCAGCCGCGGUAAUACGAAGGGUGCAAGCGUUAAUCGGAAUUACUGGGCGUAAAGCGCGCGUAGGUGGUUCGUUAAGUUGGAUGUGAAAGCCCCGGGCUCAACCUGGGAACUGCAUCCAAAACUGGCGAGCUAGAGUACGGUAGAGGGUGGUGGAAUUUCCUGUGUAGCGGUGAAAUGCGUAGAUAUAGGAAGGAACACCAGUGGCGAAGGCGACCACCUGGACUGAUACUGACACUGAGGUGCGAAAGCGUGGGGAGCAAACAGGAUUAGAAACCCUGGUAGUCC
rnacentral:rRNA from 1 species